ensembl:misc_RNA Gm27365 predicted gene, 27365
GGAUGGUCUUUUUGGGAGGCAGACAGAAUUCUGCACAUAGAAUCAGCUCAUCCUAAUGUAGAGGAUGCUAAGCUGUUUGGCUCUGAUUAUUCCGAAGAUCCCACCUUUUUUUUUUUUUUUUAAUCUGUUAGCGUGACUGCUUGUCACAUUGUAAUAUUGUGUUCCUUGCCUUAGGACAG